GACGGAGGGGGCUAGCGUUGUUCGGAAUUACUGGGCGUAAAGAGUGCGUAGGCGGUUUAGUAAGUUGGAAGUGAGAGCCCGAGGCUUAACCUCGGAAUUGCUUUCAAAACUACUAAACUAGAGUGUAGUAGGGGAUGAUGGAAUUCCUAGUGUAGAGGUGAAAUUCUUAGAUAUUAGGAGGAACACCGGUGGCGAAGGCGGUCAUCUGGGCUACAACUGACGCUGAUGCACGAAAGCGUGGGGAGCAAACAGG
rnacentral:rRNA from 1 species